rnacentral:lncRNA from 1 species
GCCUUACAUGGUAAAUAUGUAGUUCUGUGUGUUUUAUUUCUGAAACUGAAAUGCUCUAAGCCCUGACAGAUUUAUUUCUGUGCUUCUCCAGACAGUAAUGGCUGUGUCUACUCUUCAGGACCUUGAGAGACAAGGAGAAGGUCUUUUUUACAAUAAGCAUUCUACCGUGCGCCCCAAGGUUGACACAGGAGGGAAGUUCAGAGGAUGGGCUCCCCGAGAUGAGGGACUGCCUUACUUAUCUUCUUGGAUCCAUUUUGCACAGUGGACUACUAUACAUUGUAAGUGCUUAAUAAAUGUUUCUUUCUUUUUUUCAUUCAUAGAUAAUGGUGGUUUGAUCCAUACCUAGAUCAUCUAAAAUGGCAUCAGUGAUGGGAGAUUUUAAAGAUCUGUCUCUGGGAGCCUGGAUGAUUGGAGGAUGAAUGGGAAUUCUGUGUUGCCCUUCCACCUGGUUGGGAGCAGUUUUUUUUUUUUUUUGCAUUGACUGUGUCGCCAUAGUUGCCUAUACCUUUAUAACUGCUCAACUGAACAUUCUUAGAGUAUCUCAUUUGUGUUUGAGGAUGAAGGACUCUUUUGGAGGUUUCUAGGUGUUGGUCCUGGGGUAGACCUGAGUUUGCGUCUGAUCUCAGAAACUCAUUAGCUGUGUAGACUUGGGCAAGUUGCUUAACCUCUGUUUGCCUCCAUUUCAUAGGGAUAAAAUGGCAUCUAUCUCAUAUGAUUGCUGUGUGGGUCAAAGGAGAUAAAUUUAUAAAGGGCUUGGCACAUAGUAGGCAAUGUAAAAAUGCUCAUUCUCUUUCUUUUCCUCCCUUCUCUCAUGCAUAGCAAGUAGAGUAAAUAAGAGUAAAUAAAGAGGGAGCAUUCCAAGCUCCCCCCUUCCA